UUCCGGGAGAUUGAGGGCUCCGGCGAAAACAAUCGCCAGGUCGUCGUCGACUGCAGAUUUGCUGGGCAAGGCGGUUCCACGCCUUCGGCGCGAACAAACCCUUCCUCGUCGUUAGCAAGAGAUCCCGCGACGGACUCUUCCCUUCGCCUCCCUCUUCCUCCUCCAAGUGCUGCCAAAGGGUUCCGCUUUCUGACAUCACAAACGGCUGCUCUACUCCGUCUUCUUCCGGAACCAUGAUACCAGAAAAAAGCAUUCUUGAUGACGACCUGGACGAGGCAUUUCUGCGCGAGGUGGACGCCAUAUGUGAAAAGAGGUCAACAGUGAAGAAGGAAAGGUUAGGUGAGGAGGCGGUGGAAAAUAAGGGAUGUGUAGUGGGCGGAUACAAGGACUUGGGUUCAUGUAGGCUGAGGGGUUUAUUCGGGGACGCUGACGAUGAGUCUUUGAAGCUGCAUAAGUACUGGGAUUAUUAGAAAAACGUUAAUGACGCGCAGAGAGAAGCUGCUUGCAGUGACACUUCAGUCCCAUUGAUGAUUGUUGCUGGUCCAGGAAGUGGAAAGACAUCCACAAUGGUUUGACGCGUGCUGACACUGCUCAAAUAGGGAAUUGAUCCAUCCAACAUCCUAGCAAUGACUUUCACAAUUGCUGCUGCAUCAGAGAUGAGGGAUCAAAUUGGAAUAGUAGCUAGAAAAGCAGUUG